rnacentral:rRNA from 1 species
UACGUAGGGCGCAAGCGUUGUCCGGAAUUAUUGGGCGUAAAGAGCUCGUAGGUGGCUUGUCACGUCGGGUGUGAAAGCUUGGGGCUUAACUCCAGGUCUGCAUUCGAUACGGGCUGGCUAGAGGUAGGUAGGGGAGAACGGAAUUCCUGGUGUAGCGGUGAAAUGCGCAGAUAUCAGGAGGAACACCGGUGGCGAAGGCGGUCCUCUGGGCCUUACCUGACGCUGAGGAGCGAAAGCGUGGGGAGCGAACAGG